UUGCGGGGCAUUCUGGGAAGCGGGGCCGCGCCCACCGCAGGAGCCUCCGGGAAGCGGCGGAGGUGGGAGCGCUGAAUUUGCACGUGGUGCCCGGCAUGUGUCUGCUCACCUGGUGCGGGCUGGGCUUUGUGACAGCCCCUCGGUGUCUACAUUGUCUAACUUAAGGGCUCUUGGCAGCCGAGCGCCUUGCCUCCUACCUGUAUUUCCCCCGUUAGUAGUCCGGGCCAGCUCUUGAGGGGAGUUCUUAUCCCCACCAGACAGGUGAAUGACCUCAACCUCGGAGAGGUGAAGGAACCCGCUGCCCUCUGCCCUCGGCUCCCUGACGCGCCAACUUGCUGCAAUAGGCUUCAUGCCCAGCCCGGAGCUCAGUUGCGGGGCUUGAACUCCCAACCCUGAGAUCAAGAUCUGAGCUGAGAUCAAAAGUUGGACGGUCAACCAUCUGAGCCACCCAGGAGCCCCUAGUGAAUGGAGUUUAAUGGGAACAGACCAAGAUGCCUAACUGGCACUUCUCACUCUGCCCUGGUACAGAUGCAAAAUUCGGAAAUUCUGAACGUCAAAUCUGUUUGAUUAUUAAUCAUGGA